AAUGAACGGUAUCUCAGUGAUGCUGAAUUUAUUAGCUGUACUUUCCGCCCUCCCAGGACAGCAGGAAUCUGCGUGCCUUUAUUACCGCCGUAUCUUCCACCAGCACCUUACGUGGCUCCCAUUUAUUGAGCCCUUACCAGGUGCCAGGCACCGAGAACUUCUCUCCUGCCUUGAAGACCCAGAACCCCUCUCAUACUCCUCAGUCUCCUUCCCAAGGAACCCUGGAUCCAGCAACGCCUGAAGUUGACAUGCCCUUGAAACUCCAAGCCUCCUGUGGAUGAGGUUGGGUCUUAUCUACUCCCACAUCUGGGGGCCUAGCACAGAGAGCUCUUGAAGAAAUGGAUGUCUGACAGGUACCCUGAAGGUGACCUCACGCUGCUCCUUUCCUGGGUCCCCCAUCCCAGUUAAUGCUGUCACUGUCUACCUCAGGUUCCAGAGCCAGAAAAUUCAGUUGUCCUUACCUUCUCUCCCUCAAACUGUUCUACUGUAAGUACUGCUAUUCUGUUUCAGAAAGCUCUCUCCCAUCUGUCCCCCUCUCCUGCUCCCUUGCCAUUGCCUUGGUUUAGACCACCUUCAACUCACUGCGACAACUUCAAUCAGUCCUCUCUUUUUCCUUCCUUUUAUCUGUCCUCUCUACCUACUGCCACAGCGAUCUCUCUAGAACCCACACCUGAUGACAUCGCUCCCCUGCUUCGAACCCUGCAGGGUUCCCCAUCAACCUCAGGAGAAGUCACACUCCCUAUGGUGGACUGAAAGCCCUGCCCUGUUUCCUCCCUCCCGCACCCCUCUCUUCCCACCCUGCAUCUCAGACACAUUUCAUGCCCUUUCCCUGAACACACUACAUACUUUCUUGUCCCCAGACUCUUCUGCUAGAACUCUCUCUGCCCAGAAUGUGUGUCCCCUUCUCCCCACCUGAACUCCAACCAUUCCUCAAAGAAGUCCUCCUCCCUGUAUCCUCCUACCCUACCCCUAGGGAGUGCACUCCCCAACCCCUCAGUGCUCCCACCACACCGUUGCCUCUUGGCUAACUGGACGGUGAACCCCCCUGAGGAUAGGAUCGAUCUCUCCACCCUUAUGCCAACGAGGCCGGAUGUGGUGGGCUUCUCCAGAGAAAGUGAAUGCCAAGUGGUCCUUCUCAUGGGGCUCAGAAACUCACCGGCUAAAACUAGUUAGGUU